GGGGAAUAUUGCGCAAUGGGGGAAACCCUGACGCAGCAACGCCGCGUGCGGGAUGGAGGCCUUCGGGUUGUAAACCGCUUUCAGCAGGGAAGAACAAGGACGGUACCUGCAGAAGAAGCUCCGGCUAAAUACGUGCCAGCAGCCGCGGUAAUUCGUAUGGAGCGAGCGUUAUCCGGAUUCAUUGGGCGUAAAGCGCGCGCAGGCGGCUCGUUAAGUCGGGUGUCAAAGCCCGGGGCUCAACCCCGGCCCGCACCCGAUACUGGCGGGCUCGAGUUCGGUAGAGGAGGGUGGAAUUCCCAGUGUAGCGGUGAAAUGCGCAGAUAUUGGGAGGAACACCGAUGGCGAAGGCAGCCCUCUGGGCCGCAACUGACGCUGAGGCGCGAAAGCUGGGGGAGCGAAC
rnacentral:rRNA from 1 species